rnacentral:lncRNA from 1 species
UUCACAACUAAACAAAGAAAUAUGGAUAACCUAGUGCGUUUGAGCCACAAUAUGACUUUCAAUGCAAAUGUGGUCUAAUCCAUGAAUGAGUAACAGCAAAUGGUUACUUAGGAAAACACAAUAAUAUAAAUAUAAAAACAGGUAUUGUAACUACCAUUAAGCAGAAAAUAAUUAGGAUAAAGUAAACAUUGUGUUAGCGAAACCUAACUGUUAAAUAUAAAAAAUAUGUAGUUUGUACACGCUUGUAACAUGAAUAAGUGAAUAACGUUCGCAAAUUUCACAUCAUGGGACGAACCGGUCUCUCUUAUGACCCAACCAGACCACGGACCAUAUUUGGAACUUCCUUCACGUUCGCUCUUUACGUUCGUACGUUCGGGAGCCGAUUCGGAUGGCGCCAGUCGACAGAGAAAACUACACCUCCUGGCCUGUUGGUGGACACAGUUGACAUUUAUUUUAAACAGAGAGCUGCACCUGUCACUCUGAGGAGGAUGAUGGAGCAAAGCAAAGAACAACAAGCAACUGCCUUAAGCUUAGACAACACAGCCACUUUCAAUCUGGCCCCAUGGACCCUGGAUUCUAGAGAUACUUCAGAGACUUUCCUGUUUCCUGUAUUUAAUGGGGUGUUUAUUGGACACUGGCGGUUUCUGGAGGAACUGAAGUGUCAGACUCCACCACCAUCAAACCACUAA